GGUUAAGCGACUAAGCGUACACGGUGGAUGCCCUGGCAGUCAGAGGCGAUGAAGGACGUGCUAAUCUGCGAUAAGCGUCGGUGAGGUGAUAUGAACCGUUAUAACCGGCGAUUUCCGAAUGGGGAAACCCAGUGUGUUUCGACACACUAUCAUUAACUGAAUCCAUAGGUUAAUGAGGCGAACCGGGGGAACUGAAACAUCUAAGUACCCCGAGGAAAAGAAAUCAACCGAGAUUCCCCCAGUAGCGGCGAGCGAACGGGGAGGAGCCCAGAGCCUGAAUCAGUGUGUGUGUUAGUGGAAGCGUCUGGAAAGGCGUGCGAUACAGGGUGACAGCCCCGUACACAAAAAUGCACAUAUUGUGAGCUCGAUGAGUAGGGCGGGACACGUGGUAUCCUGUCUGAAUAUGGGGGGACCAUCCUCCAAGGCUAAAUACUCCUGACUGACCGAUAGUGAACCAGUACCGUGAGGGAAAGGCGAAAAGAACCCCGGCGAGGGGAGUGAAAAAGAACCUGAAACCGUGUACGUACAAGCAGUGGGAGCCUCUUAAUGGGGUGACUGCGUACCUUUUGUAUAAUGGGUCAGCGACUUAUAUUCUGUAGCAAGGUUAACCGAAUAGGGGAGCCGAAGGGAAACCGAGUCUUAACUGGGCGUUAAGUUGCAGGGUAUAGACCCGAAACCCGGUGAUCUAGCCAUGGGCAGGUUGAAGGUUGGGUAACACUAACUGGAGGACCGAACCGACUAAUGUUGAAAAAUUAGCGGAUGACUUGUGGCUGGGGGUGAAAGGCCAAUCAAACCGGGAGAUAGCUGGUUCUCCCCGAAAGCUAUUUAGGUAGCGCCUCGUGAAUUCAUCUCCGGGGGUAGAGCACUGUUUCGGCAAGGGGGUCAUCCCGACUUACCAACCCGAUGCAAACUGCGAAUACCGGAGAAUGUUAUCACGGGAGACACACGGCGGGUGCUAACGUCCGUCGUGAAGAGGGAAACAACCCAGACCGCCAGCUAAGGUCCCAAAGUCAUGGUUAAGUGGGAAACGAUGUGGGAAGGCCCAGACAGCCAGGAUGUUGGCUUAGAAGCAGCCAUCAUUUAAAGAAAGCGUAAUAGCUCACUGGUCGAGUCGGCCUGCGCGGAAGAUGUAACGGGGCUAAACCAUGCACCGAAGCUGCGGCAGCGACACUAUGUGUUGUUGGGUAGGGGAGCGUUCUGUAAGCCUGUGAAGGUGGCCUGUGAGGGUUGCUGGAGGUAUCAGAAGUGCGAAUGCUGACAUAAGUAACGAUAAAGCGGGUGAAAAGCCCGCUCGCCGGAAGACCAAGGGUUCCUGUCCAACGUUAAUCGGGGCAGGGUGAGUCGACCCCUAAGGCGAGGCCGAAAGGCGUAGUCGAUGGGAAACAGGUUAAUAUUCCUGUACUUGGUGUUACUGCGAAGGGGGGACGGAGAAGGCUAUGUUGGCCGGGCGACGGUUGUCCCGGUUUAAGCGUGUAGGCUGGUUUUCCAGGCAAAUCCGGAAAACCAAGGCUGAGGCGUGAUGACGAGGCACUACGGUGCUGAAGCGACAAAUGCCCUGCUUCCAGGAAAAGCCUCUAAGCAUCAGGUAACAUCAAAUCGUACCCAAAACCGACACAGGUGGUCAGGUAGAGAAUACCAAGGCGCUUGAGAGAACUCGGGUGAAGGAACUAGGCAAAAUGGUGCCGUAACUUCGGGAGAAGGCACGCUGAUAUGUAGGUGAAGCGACUUGCUCGUGGAGCUGAAAUCAGUCGAAGAUACCAGCUGGCUGCAACUGUUUAUUAAAAACACAGCACUGUGCAAACACGAAAGUGGACGUAUACGGUGUGACGCCUGCCCGGUGCCGGAAGGUUAAUUGAUGGGGUUAGCGGUAACGCGAAGCUCUUGAUCGAAGCCCCGGUAAACGGCGGCCGUAACUAUAACGGUCCUAAGGUAGCGAAAUUCCUUGUCGGGUAAGUUCCGACCUGCACGAAUGGCGUAAUGAUGGCCAGGCUGUCUCCACCCGAGACUCAGUGAAAUUGAACUCGCUGUGAAGAUGCAGUGUACCCGCGGCAAGACGGAAAGACCCCGUGAACCUUUACUAUAGCUUGACACUGAACAUUGAGCCUUGAUGUGUAGGAUAGGUGGGAGGCUUUGAAGUGUGGACGCCAGUCUGCAUGGAGCCGACCUUGAAAUACCACCCUUUAAUGUUUGAUGUUCUAACGUUGGCCCGUAAUCCGGGUUGCGGACAGUGUCUGGUGGGUAGUUUGACUGGGGCGGUCUCCUCCUAAAGAGUAACGGAGGAGCACGAAGGUUGGCUAAUCCUGGUCGGACAUCAGGAGGUUAGUGCAAUGGCAUAAGCCAGCUUGACUGCGAGCGUGACGGCGCGAGCAGGUGCGAAAGCAGGUCAUAGUGAUCCGGUGGUUCUGAAUGGAAGGGCCAUCGCUCAACGGAUAAAAGGUACUCCGGGGAUAACAGGCUGAUACCGCCCAAGAGUUCAUAUCGACGGCGGUGUUUGGCACCUCGAUGUCGGCUCAUCACAUCCUGGGGCUGAAGUAGGUCCCAAGGGUAUGGCUGUUCGCCAUUUAAAGUGGUACGCGAGCUGGGUUUAGAACGUCGUGAGACAGUUCGGUCCCUAUCUGCCGUGGGCGCUGGAGAACUGAGGGGGGCUGCUCCUAGUACGAGAGGACCGGAGUGGACGCAUCACUGGUGUUCGGGUUGUCAUGCCAAUGGCACUGCCCGGUAGCUAAAUGCGGAAGAGAUAAGUGCUGAAAGCAUCUAAGCACGAAACUUGCCCCGAGAUGAGUUCUCCCUGACUCCUUGAGGGUCCUGAAGGAACGUUGAAGACG
rnacentral:rRNA from 1 species